rnacentral:rRNA from 1 species
UACGUAGGGGGCAAGCGUUGUCCGGAAUCAUUGGGCGUAAAGAGCGUGUAGGCGGCCCGGUAAGUCCGCUGUAAAAGUCAAAGGCUCAACCUUUGAAUGCCGCUGGAUACUGGCUUGACUUGAGUCCGGAAGGGGCGAGUGGAAUUCCUGGUGUAGCGGUGAAAUGCGCAGAUAUCAGGAGGAACACCAUGGCGAAGGCAGCUCGCUGGAACGGUACUGACGCUGAGGCGCGAAAGCGUGGGGAGCGAACAGG